GGGAAACGAUGUGGGAAGGCCCAGACAGCCAGGAUGUUGGCUUAGAAGCAGCCAUCAUUUAAAGAAAGCGUAAUAGCUCACUGGUCGAGUCGGCCUGCGCGGAAGAUGUAACGGGGCUAAACCAUGCACCGAAGCUGCGGCAGCGACACUCAGGUGUUGUUGGGUAGGGGAGCGUUCUGUAAGCCUGUGAAGGUGUGUCGUGAGGCAUGCUGGAGGUAUCAGAAGUGCGAAUGCUGACAUAAGUAACGAUAAAGCGGGUGAAAAGCCCGCUCGCCGGAAGACCAAGGGUUCCUGUCCAACGUUAAUCGGGGCAGGGUGAGUCGACCCCUAAGGCGAGGCCGAAAGGCGUAGUCGAUGGGAAACGGGUUAAUAUUCCCGUACUUGGUGUUACUGCGAAGGGGGGACGGAGAAGGCUAUGUUGGCCGGGCGACGGUUGUCCCGGUUUAAGCGUGUAGGCUGGUUUUCCAGGCAAAUCCGGAAAAUCAAGGCUGAGGCGUGACGACGAGGCACUACGGUGCUGAAGCAACAAAUGCCCUGCUUCCAGGAAAAGCCUCUAAGCAUCAGGUAACAUCAAAUCGUACCCCAAACCGACACAGGUGGUCAGGUAGAGAAUACCAAGGCGCUUGAGAGAACUCGGGUGAAGGAACUAGGCAAAAUGGUGCCGUAACUUCGGGAGAAGGCACGCUGACACGUAGGUGAAGUGAUUUACUCAUGGAGCUGAAGUCAGUCGAAGAUACCAGCUGGCUGCAACUGUUUAUUAAAAACACAGCACUGUGCAAACACGAAAGUGGACGUAUACGGUGUGACGCCUGCCCGGUGCCGGAAGGUUAAUUGAUGGGGUCAGCGCAAGCGAAGCUCCUGAUCGAAGCCCCGGUAAACGGCGGCCGUAACUAUAACGGUCCUAAGGUAGCGAAAUUCCUUGUCGGGUAAGUUCCGACCUGCACGAAUGGCGUAAUGAUGGCCAGGCUGUCUCCACCCGAGACUCAGUGAAAUUGAACUCGCUGUGAAGAUGCAGUGUACCCGCGGCAAGACGGAAAGACCCCGUGAACCUUUACUAUAGCUUGACACUGAACAUUGAGCCUUGAUGUGUAGGAUAGGUGGGAGGCUUUGAAGCGUGGACGCCAGUCUGCGUGGAGCCGACCUUGAAAUACCACCCUUUAAUGUUUGAUGUUCUAACGUGGACCCGUAAUCCGGGUUGCGGACAGUGUCUGGUGGGUAGUUUGACUGGGGCGGUCUCCUCCUAAAGAGUAACGGAGGAGCACGAAGGUUGGCUAAUCCUGGUCGGACAUCAGGAGGUUAGUGCAAUGGCAUAAGCCAGCUUGACUGCGAGCGUGACGGCGCGAGCAGGUGCGAAAGCAGGUCAUAGUGAUCCGGUGGUUCUGAAUGGAAGGGCCAUCGCUCAACGGAUAAAAGGUACUCCGGGGAUAACAGGCUGAUACCGCCCAAGAGUUCAUAUCGACGGCGGUGUUUGGCACCUCGAUGUCGGCUCAUCACAUCCUGGGGCUGAAGUAGGUCCCAAGGGUAUGGCUGUUCGCCAUUUAAAGUGGUACGCGAGCUGGGUUUAGAACGUCGUGAGACAGUUCGGUCCCUAUCUGCCGUGGGCGCUGGAGAACUGAGGGGGGCUGCUCCUAGUACGAGAGGACCGGAGUGGACGCAUCACUGGUGUUCGGGUUGUCAUGCCAAUGGCACUGCCCGGUAGCUAAAUGCGGAAGAGAUAAGUGCUGAAAGCAUCUAAGCACGAAACUUGCCCCGAGAUGAGUUCUCCCUGAGACUUAGAGUCUCCUGAAGGAACGUUGAAGACGACGACGUUGAUAGGCCGGGUGUGUAAGCGCAGCGAUGCGUUGAGCUAACCGGUACUAAUGAACCGUGAGGCUUAACCUUACAACGCCGAAG
rnacentral:rRNA from 1 species